rnacentral:misc_RNA from 1 species
AAGAGAGGUAAAAAGGUUGAAACUUGAAAGCAGAUGGAAUAUGGGCUCUUUUAGGGGCUUAAGUGCUCUUAAGUGAUGUAAGAGGAGGUGCUAAUGGUGGGGGAUCUGUGACUCUCUUAGCUAAAAACGUUCAAGAACAGAACACGGCACGAAUCCAGAGGAAAGGAUAAAAGGUAGAUAGAGUCCACUUGUGCUUUACUGGGUAUUAGUAAUAUCCGAAAAGCAAGCCAAAUUUUGGAAUUUUUUGGCGUUUUAGCAUUAAAUUCAUUCAAUCCUUUUCAAGGUUUUUCUAGCAUUUAUUCCCACUUUGAUUAUGCAAUAAUUCCUCAAAUCUGCAAAUUUAAGCCACAAAGCUUUCUUGGUUCACAGCUUCAAAAAGCACAAUCUUUCUGUGGUAUAGAGAGAGAGAGAGAGAGA